rnacentral:tRNA from 1 species
ACAAAAUUUAGCUAAACAAACCUUUUGGAUUCAUACUUCAAAUAUAGAAUAAAAAUGUUUUUUGUG